rnacentral:rRNA from 1 species
GUAGUCAUAUGCUUGUCUCAAAGAUUAAGCCAUGCAUGUCUAAGUAUAAAUACUACACAGUAAAACUGCGAAUGGCUCAUUAAAACAGUUAUAGUUUAUUUGAUACAUUAAAUGGAUAACUGUAGAAAAACUAGAGCUAAUACAUGCCAAGACCGUAAGGUUGUAUUUAUUAGAUAUACCAAGAUGGUGAAUCAUAAUAACUUAGCAAAUCGAAACUACGUUUCGAUAAAUCAUUUAAGUUUCUGACCUAUCAUGCUCUGAUGGUAGUGUAUUGGACUACCAUGGCAGUCACGGGUAACGGAGAAUUAGGGUUCGAUUCCGGAGAAGGAGCCUGAGAAACGGCUACUACGUCUACGGAUGGCAGCAGGCGCGUAAAUUACCCAAUCCUAAAUCAGGGAGGUAGUGACAAGAUAUAACAACGCGACUUCAAAUCGCGAUUGUAGUGAGGGUAUUCUAAAAAUAGCUUCGAGUACGAUUGGAGGGCAAGUCUGGUGCCAGCAGCCGCGGUAAUUCCAGCUCCAAUAGCGUAUAUUAAAGUUGUUGCAGUUAAAAAGCUCGUAGUUGGAUUUCAAGAGUCGCAUCUGGUAUAGCCAGUUUGCUCUCUACGGUCCUCUGGACUGUUACUGUGAGAAAAUUAGAGUGUUUAAAGCAGGCAAUUGCAGGAAUAUAUUAGCAUGGAAUAACGAAUGUAUCUACAAUUUGGUUAAUUGUAGGUUUCAAUUAAUAGGGACAGUUGGGGGCAUUGGUAUUUAAUUGUCAGAGGUGAAAUUCUUGGAUUAGUUAAAGACUAACGUAUGCGAAAGCAUUUGCCAAGGAUGUUUUCAUUAAUCAAGAACGAAAGUCGGGGGAUCAAAGGCGAUCAGAUACCGUCGUAGUCCCGCACUAUAAACUAUGCCGACUAGGGAUUGGAGUGAUAAAGAAUCACUUCAGUACCUUAUGAGAAAUCAAAGUCUUUGGGUUCUGGGGGGAGUAUGGUCGCAAGACUGAAACUUAAAGGAAUUGACGGAAG